GUUUUUUCUUUUGCUAGGAGGUGU
rnacentral:piRNA from 1 species